rnacentral:lncRNA from 1 species
AUCACAAGCGAUUUCCCCCAGAUGAUAAAUACUAUAAUUUUAGUUAGACAUUAAAUACAAAAGGUACGAAUAGGAUGUGACCAAUAUAUAGGUGCUAUAAAAAUGACGCCGCUUCUGUGUUAUGAAAUCAUAUUUUACAGUGGUUGAUGGGAUUUUUACGAACACCAAUAAAUGCCAAGUGUUAUUAUCUGAGUUGAACACUGGUGUUGGUGAUGGAUGAGGCCGACGGAGGGACCGGAUGAUGAACUGCACGUUUAGGUUUAAGUGAGGGAUGAAGAUUAUCUGAAACAAAUCAAGGUCUCGCUGAUGAUGUAAACACUUGACUUCAUUAUCACUUUCAAAUGAUGAAUGCUCUUCAUCUGGCCCUCAGAAAGGCUUCCUCCCCUCCCAGAGUAGGGACUUCAAAACAUCUGCAGCACGCCACGGUGCUUUCAAAGACACGCCACAAGAGGAAAAUAGAACACAUGGGCGAAGAACCAGUGGAAAACAGGAAAUUCCGACAGAUUCUAUUUGUUUGUAGAUCCAGGGCACCUGGCUGCACUGAGCACACAUUUGCUUCUGCGUGACAAGGCUGACGACAGCUCCGAGGCAGACGGCGCCCCUAUUGCUUUGCUUGUUCAUCCAUCAAGAUCGUAAAACAGAAUGGAAUUAAAUUCAGUCUCCGAUCGGAUUCCUGGCUUUGGAUGCACAGACAUCAGACAUCAGGCCUGACGUCUGAGGUGAGCAUGAUCCUUUUUAUUACCGUGGAAACUGCAAAGUCUAAAAAACUGAGCAUUAAAUGUGGCCCAGACCAGAGAAUUUCAGUGUUUUUUCACCCCGCGCAACAGGAAAACGGCCUUUGUUGCCGUCUCUCAGAAGACUUUGUACAUUGACUUUGUCUCCCGCUGAGUCCACUGGAAUUUCUGCACAUGACAAAAAAAGGAAAAUUGAAAUGAAAACUAAACCCCCCCGCUGCUGGAGGAGAUGAGCUGUGCCUGAAUUGGUGAGCAGACACAACAACAUAUUUGAAAAAGCUCUUACGGU